CGGUGAAUACGUUCCCGGACCUUGUACACACCGCCCGUCAAGCCAUGGAAGCUGGGUGUACCUAAAGUCGGUAACCGCAAGGAGCCGCCUAGGGUAAAACUAGUAACUGGGGCU
rnacentral:rRNA from 1 species